AUGCUGCUGCUCACACCUUCUCUACAUCCUGACAUGUAUCCCUGUUCAUGCAUAGGUCCACUCACCCACCUCACAUCCACUCUGCAGGUUGACAAGAACAAUGCCUUAAGCUUGCUGCCUCAUGUGCAUACACGCCCCAAGCUCUUCCUUCCAAGUUUCAUACACACUGGCCCUCGACCCUGCCUGGAGCCCAUCUCUAUAGCUCCCCCUCUCCCCACAUUGCCCCAGACCCUGCCACUCCUGACUACUCUGCACCUCCCCAGGCAGGAAUUUGAGGCUGAACGGAAGCCAGACCUGCGGCGAGAUGUUUACCUUCAGGACAUUCACUGUGUCUCCUCCCUCUGCAAGGCCUACUUCAGGGAGCUGCCAGACCCCCUGCUCACUUACCGGCUCUAUGACAAGUUUGCUGAGGCUGUGGCAGUACAACUGGAACCUGAGCGCUUGGUCAAGAUCCUAGAGGUGCUUCAAGAACUUCCGGUCCCCAACUACAGGACCCUGGAGUUCCUCAUGAGGCACUUGGUGCACAUGGCCUCAUUCAGCGCCCAGACCAACAUGCACGCGCGCAACCUGGCCAUCGUGUGGGCCCCUAACCUGCUGAGGUCUAAGGACAUAGAGGCCUCAGGCUUCAAUGGGACGGCAGCUUUCAUGGAGGUGCGUGUGCAGUCCAUCGUCGUCGAGUUCAUCCUCACGCAUGUGGACCAGCUUUUUGGGGGUGCUGCACUCUCUGGUAGUGAAGUGGAAAGUGGAUGGCGAUCACUUGCAGGGGCCCGGGUGUCAGGCAGCCCUGAGGACCUUAUGCCACGGUCCCUGCCCUACAAUCUGCCUAGCAUCCUGCAGGCUGGUGACGGCCCCCCCCAGAUGCGGCCCUACCACACCAUCAUAGAGAUUGCAGAGCACAAGAGGAAGGGGUCUCUGAAGGUCAGGAAGUGGAGAUCCAUCUUCAACCUGGGUCGCUCUGGCCAUGAGACCAAACGCAAACUUCCACGGGGGGCUGAGGACAGGGAGGACAAAUCUGAUAAGGGGACUCUGCGGCCAGCCAAGAGCAUGGACUCACUGAGUGCUGUGGCUGGGGUUAGUGAUGAACCAGAGGGGCUGCUAGGAUCCAACAGUCCUCGGCCAGGCCCACUGCUGACGGAAAGCCUGGAGAAUGAGUCCGUGGAAGCGGCAGAGUGUGAGCAGGAGCCCGACCCAGAGGCGCUGGGUGGCACGAGCUCCGAGCCAGGCACACCACGACCUGGGCGGUCAGCAGUCCGUGCUGGGGGCAGCAGCCAUGCAGAGCGCCGUGCUGGCGUUCAUAUCUCAGAGCCCUACGAUGUCAACCUCCCAGCACACAUCAGCAACAUGCUCAACAUAUCCUCAAACAUCUUGGCGGGGCUUGCCCGUGGUCUUGAACGCCCUGCCCCACAGCCUCGGCCAAGCCCUGCCUCUGGCCCCGGUCCUGGCCCCGGCCUUGGCCCUGGCCCCCCAGAUGAGAAGUUGGAGGCAAGUCCAGCCCCAGGUCCCUCGGCUGACUCGUGCCCAGUGGACGUGGCCCCUGCCUUGGAGGACUGCCUGUCCCAGGAGGUGCAGGAUUCCUUCUCCUUCCUAGAGGACUCAAGCAGCUCAGAACCUGAGUGGGUGGGGGUGGAGGACGGGGAGGUGGCCAAGGCAGGACCAGCAGGAGCAGCCUUCUCCCCUGGGGAGGAAGACCCUGGGAUGGGCUACCUGGAGGAGCUCCUGGGAGUUGGGCCUCAGGUGGAGGAGUUCUCUGUGGAGCCGCCCCUGGAUGACCUGUCCCUGGAUGAGGCACAGUUUGUCCUGGCUCCCAGCUGCUGUUCCCUGGACUCUCCUGGCCCCAGGCCUGAAACAGAGGAGGAAAGCGGGGAGGAAGUCUUCCUGAGUGCCUAUGAUGACCUUAGUCCCCUUCUGGAGCCCAAACUCCCAAGCUGGGAGGGUCCAGGCAGUGAAGAGGAAAAGGUGGCAGGGUCUGGAAGACAGGAGGCUUCAGGACAGGAUGAGGGCGAGCAAGCCUCGUGUGAAGGUGGAGAGGACCAGGGGGAGCCUGGAAGCAGACGGGACACCGACGAGGAGGCUGAGGGGAGGCCAGAGAGUGGCGUGGAGGGCAGAGAGGCCACUGAGGAAGGAGCAGAGGCUGAGGGGAGCCAGAAGGUGACUGACAGUUUGAAAGAAGGAUGUGGGGAAGAGACAGAGGAGACAGAGGCCACGGGAGAGGAGUCCAAAGGUCAGCAGGAGGGUGAGAGAACGGAGGAAGCUAAGGGUGUGGGAGAAACUGGAGGAGAGCAGGCUGAAGACAAGGGGAAGGAAGGAAAGACGGAGAGACAGGAAGGUGCUGAGGAAGGAGACGAAGCCCGGGGAGCAGCUGGAAAGCACUCAGAGCAUGAGGCCCAGGAAAACCGAAUUGCUGAAGAGAGCUGGGAAGUUGUACACAGACAAGAGGCUGAAGGAGGCAGAGAAGAUGAGGUCAAAGGACAAAGGGGAGAUGAGGGUCAAGAGGCAGGAGAAGACCAAGGAGAUGGUGAAGAUAGCAGGAUCCCAGAAGCAGCAGCUGAAGGAGGAGCAGGGGAGGUCAGCAAGGAACGGGAGUGUGGACACGGAGAAGCUGAGGGAGACCAGAGAGCUGGAGGUGAACGUGGAGAAGAGGGUUCCCUCCCUGAAGGGCCACAGGUCGAGGCCCUGGAGGUUGACAGUGCCAAAGAGGGCAACUCCCAGUCCUCUGAGACAGAACAGGCAGCCCCACAGCCACCUCGGCCAGAGGAGAUGGAUCCUGAGGGGCAGCCCAAUCCCCUUGGCUCAGCUGGUGGUGUGGGCAUGCGCCUGGCUUCCACCCUUGUUCAGGUCCAACAGGUCCGCUCUGUGCCCGUGGUGCCCCCCAAACCACAGUUUGCCAAGAUGCCCAGUGCAAUGUGUGGCAAGAUCCACGUGGCACCAGCAAACCCAUGCCCAAAACCUGGCCGGCUCGAUGGGGACAGGCCCUGGGGCUCCCGAGCCUCCCGCUCCUCUUGGAGGAAUGGGGGUAGUCUUUCCUUUGAUGCUGCUGUGGCCCUGGCCCGGGACCGCCAGAGGACUGAAGCUCAGGCAGUUCGGCGGACCCAGACUUGUACUGGUGCUGGGGACUACAGUCUCAUCCCCAAAACCUCCCCCUAUAGCUUGAUCCCUGCCUACACUCCCCGGCCCCUUAGCUGCCUGGAGAUCCCAGCUGAGGGCACAGAUGGGUCUGGACCCCGGAGUCGGUUUAGCCUGCCCCCCAGAGAACCCCAACCUCCUGAACCCCUUAUGUCCCCCCAGCGACGAUCGUAUGCAUUCGAAACACAGGCUAACUCUGGGAAAGGUGAGGGACUGUAAUUAGGACAAGAGCACUGGGCAUAAGGGACAGUAGCUGCCUCCAGGGUCUUGGACUGUUUCAUCUGCAGCCUGAGCAGCUGUAGUGCCCAACUCUAUAGGUUUUGGCCCUCCAGCUUCUCUUUUUGACUGUGGGAAGCACUGUCUUGGUCUGUUUACCUGAGCUUGUCUCAGACACAAAGCACUUAUCCCUUAGGAGAUUCUUGAGAAAGUCACCAAGAUCCUGUCCCUGGAGAGAGAGGUCACUGGCCAAAGGGAACAAAGAGUAGGUGGAAAACUUAACUGUUUCUCAAAGUGAAGAAUGAAGGGGGAACUCCAGCUGAGGUCCUGCCUUCCUCUGAGGCAAUGAACUCUUCAUGGAAGUCCAGAGUAGAAGCGGGGUCAGGGCCAGAUUGGAGCCUAUUACACACAAACACUUUUAGAGGUUACCUAUCCUUGUUCUACUCUUGGUCCCUUGGAUACCUCCUGCUCCUAUUAACUCCAGAUUAGGAGAAAAACGUCCAGGAAACUCUUUGAAUACACAGUAUUUGUUGGUGGGACUAGUUCCUUUCCUAGCUCCCCAACCCUCUGCCUCCCUGGAUCUCUAGGAACCGAGGUCUUAUAUAGAUCUCUCUGGCCUCUUUCUCCUUUGGAAUAACUUCCUAUUUUAGGGAAGAGGGAUGGUGUCACUCAGGCUCUGGGAUUGCUUCUCUGGACAGGUUGGGGCCACAGGUCCCAAGGGGCAAUAUCUCAGAAUAAAUGCUGUAUUUUUACAGAUAAAUAGUGUGAU
rnacentral:lncRNA from 1 species